AACUUUCAACAACGGAUCUCUUGGUUCUGGCAUCGAUGAAGAACGCAGCAAAAUGCGAUAAGUAAUGUGAACUGCAGAAUUCAGUGAAUCAUCGAAUCUUUGAACGCACAUUGCGCCCGCCAGUAUUCUGGCGGGCAUGCCUGUUCGAGCGUCAUUU
rnacentral:rRNA from 1 species